AAAUGCCCCAGAAAUAGCAUAUACAUUGUACCCUAAGUCCGGUCUCGCCCAGGUGUGGCAGGAGGUUUUACCUGCUUUUCGGCGGUAGCCGGCUGCCACUCAACCCCAUGCCUGGGCUGUCCUCAUCUAAUCCAUCAGUACCAGACAGUGAACAUCUCUCCCCCAGGAUGCUGAGGAAGGGUGCUGGACGGAAGGAUGUGGAACUACAGCCUCUGCUCUCAAGAUGCUCAGAUCUGGGCAGGGAACAUCACACAUCUGGGCCUGUCAGGGGGUUGGGGGCUGGGGGAGGGAUAGCAUUAGGAGAAAUAUCUAAUGUAAAUGACAAGUUGAUGGGUGCAGCAAACCGGCAUGGCACAUGUAUACCUAUGUAACAAACCUGCAUGUUGUGCACGUAUACUCUAGAACUUAAAGUAUAAUUAAAAAAAAAAAAAAAAAGCUUCAGAUCCCUCCUGGAGCCUCCUAUGAAACCACA